rnacentral:rRNA from 2 species
UACGAACUGUGCGAACGUUAUUCGGAUUCACUGGGCUUAAAGGGUGCGUAGGCGGCCGUUUAAGUAGGGUGUGAAAGCCCCCGGCUCAACCGGGGAAUGGCGCCCUAAACUGGACGGCUGGAGUGAGACAGGGGUGUGCGGAACUUCCGGUGGAGCGGUGAAAUGUGUUGAUAUCGGAAGGAACGCCGGUGGCGAAAGCGGCACACUGGGUCUCAACUGACGCUGAGGCACGAAAGCCAGGGUAGCGAACGGG